rnacentral:rRNA from 1 species
CAGCCGCCGCGGGAAUACGAAGGGUGCAAGCGUUACUCGGAAUUACUGGGCGUAAGGCGUGCGUAGGUGGUGGUUUAAGUCCGUUGUGAAAGCCCUUGGCUCAACCUGGGAAUUGCAGUGGAUACUGGGUCACUAGAGUGUGGUAGAGGAUAGUGGAAUUUCCGGUGUAGCAGUGAAAUGCGUAGAGAUCGGAAGGAACAUCUGUGGCGAAGGCGACUAUCUGGGCCAACACUGACACUGAGGCACGAAAGCGUGGGGAGCAAACAGGAUUAGAUACCCCGGUAGUCCCUGUCUCUUAUAC